rnacentral:rRNA from 1 species
AGUGAACGCAGGCGGUAGGCCUAACACAUGCAAGUCGAACGGCAGCACAGUAAGAGCUUGCUCUUACGGGUGGCGAGUGGCGGACGGGUGAGGAAUACAUCGGAAUCUACUUUUUCGUGGGGGAUAACGUAGGGAAACUUACGCUAAUACCGCAUACGACCUACGGGUGAAAGCAGGGGAUCUUCGGACCUUGCGCGAUUGAAUGAGCCGAUGUCGGAUUAGCUAGUUGGCGGGGUAAAGGCCCACCAAGGCGACGAUCCGUAGCUGUCUGAGAGGAUGAUCAGCCACACUGGAACUGAGACACGGUCCAGACUCCUACGGGAGGCAGCAGUGGGGAAUAUUGGACAAUGGGCGCAAGCCUGAUCCAGCCAUACCGCGUGGGUGAAGAAGGCCUUCGGGUUGUAAAGCCCUUUUGUUGGGAAAGAAAAGCAGCAGGUUAAUACCCCGCUGUUCUGACGGUACCCAAAGAAUAAGCACCGGCUAACUUCGUG